AUUGAACGCUGGCGGCAGGCCUAACACAUGCAAGUCGAGCGGAUGAAGGGAGCUUGCUCCUGGAUUCAGCGGCGGACGGGUGAGUAAUGCCUAGGAAUCUGCCUGGUAGUGGGGGAUAACGUCCGGAAACGGGCGCUAAUACCGCAUACGUCCUGAGGGAGAAAGUGGGGGAUCUUCGGACCUCACGCUAUCAGAUGAGCCUAGGUCGGAUUAGCUAGUUGGUGGGGUAAAGGCCUACCAAGGCGACGAUCCGUAACUGGUCUGAGAGGAUGAUCAGUCACACUGGAACUGAGAAACGGUCCAGACGCCUACGGGAGGCAGCAGUGGGGAAUAUUGGACAAGGGGCGAAAGCCUGAUCCAGCCAUGCCGCGGGUGUGAAGAAGGUCUUCGGAUGGUAAAGCACUUUAAGUUGGGAGGAAGGGCAGUAAGUUAAUACCUUGCUGUUUUGACGUUACCAACAGAAUAAGCACCGGCUAACUUCGU
rnacentral:rRNA from 1 species